AAAUGAUGAGACACCAGCUGGCACCAGUCAGAGGCCGGAUGGAUUUAUUCAUUCGCACUGCUGAUAAGCUUUCCGUCCGGAAUAAUACGCUCCGUGACCUGAA
rnacentral:snoRNA from 1 species